GCACAGUCGUCAUAGUUUGAAAGUUGGUAGCACUGGCAAGUUCGACAACUCCAACCAACUUCAUGGCGGUGCGUAUGGCGGAAAUGGAAAGUCUAUGCCCGACUCAUCAAAUGUCAAAUCGGACAAGUCAAGUGUCAAGUGUUAUCGUUGUAAGCAGUUUGGACAUUACAAAUCUCAAUGUAAACAACAGAGUAAUCAGCCUCAGAUAAAGAAAACAAACGCAUUUUCGGCAGUUUUCUUGAGUGGAAAUUACAGCAAACAGGACUUCUAUUUGGAUAGCGGUGCGAGUACACAUAUGACUCCAAAUAUAAACAUGAUACAGAAUGCAUCUUUUACUACAAGCAUUAAGGAGAUUAUAGCGGCAAAUCAGAAUGCUAUGCCAGUUUUAUGCUCUGGGGAUGUCGAUAUCAUGACCGUUACUCCGGAUUCCCUUUAUGAAGUGACGCUGAAAGAUGUGUUGUGUGUGCCUAACCUUACCACAAACCUAAUUUCCAUCAGUCAACUUAUCAAGAAUGGGAAUAAAGUCGAUUUUAAAGAGAAUUGUUGCUAUGUUUACAACAGACAGAACACUUUAGUGGCUGUAGCAAAUCUGAUAGAUGGUGUCUACAAGAUGGUCAUAGAAAAGAAACAGUGUUUGUUUACAUCAAGCUCUUCAGCAGCAAGCAGUGAAAUGUGGCACAGGAGACUUGGACAUCUGAAUAUGAACGAUCUGAACAAGAUGAAAGAUGGAGCAGUGACAGGAAUAUCGUGCACUGAUAACUCCGUGAUCAACAAAAACUCGUGCACCGUGUGCUGUGAAGGAAAGCAGUCGCGCUCACCAUUUGGCCAUGUGGGAACGAGGAGCAGCGAGCCUUUGGAAGUUAUCCACGCUGAUGUCUGUGGUCCCAUGGAGGUUACUUCAAUUGGUGGAGCAAGCAAUCUCAAACAUCUGUAGAGGAGGAGGAAACAAUGUUACCAGAACCGGCAAUUCCAGUAAUACCCAAACGAGUGAGAAGGCCACCAGAACGGUAUGGGUAUACCAACUUAUGCACCACGUCUAGUUCAGAGCCAUCUUGUGAUCCUGUGACUGUCAGAGAGGCAUUGGAGAGUCCAGAUCGAGACAAGUGGAUUGAGGCAAUGAAGGACGACCUGCAGGCAUUUGAUGACAAUGAUGCAUGGGUUCCGGUUGAAAAGUUACCUAAUGAAAAGACUUUAGUUCAAUGUAAGUGGAUUUUUAAAAGAAAGAUUGAUGUUGAUAAUAGUAUACGUUAUAGAGCGCGUUUGGUAGCAAAAGGUUUCACACAGAGACCCGGUAUUGAUUAUGAUGAAACAUAUUCACCUGUAGUGAAACAUUCCACAAUUAGGCUCUUAUUUGCUUUGUCUGUACAAUUAAAUCUUGAUAUUACUCAUUUAGAUGUGAAAACAGCUUUUUUGAAUGGAUAUCUAAAAGAGGACAUUUAUAUGAUUAAGCCUGAUUUUAAUGAUAAUAAUAAGAAGGAAAAGGUUAUUGUAAAGUUAAAUAGAGCUAUUUAUGGCUUAAAGCAGUCCUCUCGCUCAUGGUAUGAAAGAGUAGAGCAAUGUCUUUGUAAAUUAGAGUUCAAAAAGAGUAAAUUAGAACCUUGUGUUUUUACAAAAAUGUACAAUGAUGUUAAAAUAAUAAUUGCCUUGUACGUAGACGAUUUCUUUGUUUAUUCCAACAGUAAGAAAGAAACUGAAGAAUUAAUAUCUGUGUUGAGUUCUAACUUUAAGAUUAAAAACUUAGGACAGGUUCAACAAUGUUUAGGCGUAAGGGUAAAAGUUGAUAAAGAUUUGAAUUGCAUUACUCUGGAUCAGGAAAAAUAUGUAGAACAGUUGCUGGAUAAAUUUAAUAUGUUAGAUUGUAAAAUUGCAACUACUCCUAUGGAAUGUAAAUUAGAUAUUGAAAAGCCUGAUACAUGCAAUCCUGAGAUUCCUUACCAACAAUUGAUAGGCAGUCUAAUGUACCUAUCAGUACUUACUAGGCCUGAUAUUUCUUUUUGUGUCAGUUUUCUUAGUCAGUUUAACAAAUGUCACACUAAUACACAUUGGAGUUAUGCAAAAAGAAUACUCAGAUAUUUAAAGAAAACCAAGAAUUAUUGUCUAAAAUAUGUAAAAGAAAAAUCUGAACUUGUUGGAUUUGUUGAUGCCGACUGGGCUAGUAAUACUGUAGACCGCAGGUCUUAUACUGGUUAUUGUUUUACUAUGUCAGGUUCAGCAAUUUCUUGGGAGAGUAAAAAACAGAGAACUGUGGCUCUAUCUAGUAUGGAAGCCGAGUAUAUGUCCAUUUCUGAAGCUAGUAAAGAGGCUAUAUAUUUAAGAAACUUCCUGUUUGAAUUAACUGGUAAUCUAAGUACUGUUCUAAUGUAUAACGAUAGUCAAAGCGCACAGAAAUUAGUGGCAAAUUAUGUAUGUCAAAAGAGAAGCAAACAUAUUGAUAUUAGAUAUCAUUUUGUGAAAGAUGUAAUUAAUGAUAAAAUAAUUGAUUUGAAGUACAUGCCAACUAAUGCAAUGCCAGCUGAUGUUCUGACUAAAGCGUUAUGUCCCAUAAAACAUUAUAAAUGUAUUGAAAGUUUAGGAAUUAGUCAAAUGGACUGUUAGAUGAAAUAAAUUAAAAACUGUUAUUGUUUUUGUAAUUACCGUUUAUUUGCUAUAGUUGGGGUGUUAGAAAGUAGUUUGAACACCAAAUAAACUAUAGAUAAUCUUAAACUUUAUAGAAUGUUUUGUCUAUGUAAUAUUUUAUGGAUUAUAAAAUAAAAGACACUCGAUCUUCGGCUUUCACAGAAA